rnacentral:piRNA from 1 species
AGCCAAUUCCUGCUAAUAAAGUGCCUCUC